AGUUGAUUUAAUAACCCACUUAAGGUGGACUUAAAUAGGCUUUGAGAGAAGUUUAUUUCCCUUUCCUAGAAGGACCUAAUUUCCAAUUAAAGAGAGAAUCAACAUCAAAAUAGGGAGCAAUCCUACGUUUCCUGAAGCAAGAAGAUCUCUACACCUGCUGCCCUUUCUUACGAGCAGCCCAACAGGUGUGGGGGCAUUUGUGGAGCCAAAAAUAAUCACAAGGCGACACGUGGAUCUUUGGAUAAAAAAGGACAAGAAUACCCUUGAGGCACAUUGGGAUUCCUACGCGCGAGUAGCGGUGUCACAUCCCGGCCAGCACACCUUGAUUCUAGGAUCGGGGUGUGUCAAGCAGAGAAUCAUCUUUCAACAAAAUCAAAAAUGCUCCAAAAGAGGUAACCAAUUCAAAGUCCAUCUCAUCAAAUCCCUUUUUGCAAGGUAACCUACAAAAUAAUGUUAAUUGGUUAAUUAAUGGAUUAAUUACCCAAUUAAUCCAUUAAACAUCAAUUAAAUUACCCAAUUAAUCACAAAAUAUAUCCCAUUCACCCUAAAAAUAGGUAGUGGCCGGUCACCUCACAUUCUUCUUAGUCUUUCUUACUUUUCCCCAUUUUACUACCCCAUUUAUACAAAUAAAUAAUUUUAUAACCUCCCAUUUACUUCUUUCAUACUUAAUUAGCCAAUAAAUUGGCUAAUUAAGCCAAAAUCAUAACCACAAAAACCAUCAAGGCCGGCCACACCAAGGGGAAAAAUGGGUAAGCUUAAUCCUAUAAAUAGGCACUUAUUCUCACCAAAAAGUCAUUCCAAUUCUCUUACAAAAAAUCCCAAAUACUCUAAACACUAAUUCUCUCUAAAAUUCUAACUUUGGCAUCGAAGGUUCUUCGGCCAAAGCCCCCCCCCCAUUCAUCAUGGGCGCGUGAGCCUUUUGGCCUUAACCUAAGGUGCUAGUUGUUUUGUAGGUGCAAAAUCGUCCAAGAUCGAGGAGGAGAAAAUUUGCAUCCACAACACACACCAUUGAACUUGAUGGGAUACGAAUUAUACGAAACUAAUUUCAACAAUCCAACCUUCAAACUUGUUUGUAAAUGCUUCGAGAUCGCAUCAGCAAAAAGUUGCAAAAAAACAAACAUUCUGAGAUCAAGUAACGGGACAAAACUUUUCGACGGUUAUCAACGAAAAAUCACAAUUUAAUGGUUAUUUUAACCCCAAUUUUGAUGAUUUUUUACACCUACACUCCUUGACCCUAUACGAAUACAAUGAAUGAACUCAAUCUUCAAUUUAAAAUAUUUACAUUAGUGGAUACCACAAAAUUUUAUGUUAUACUUAAUGAAAGUAUGAAUAAACUCUUAAGUGUUAGUGAAUCUAUUGUUUUGAUGAGAUACGUAUUCUACGAAACUAGUUUCAACGAUCCAACCAUCAAACAUGUUUGUAUAUACUUCGAGAUCGCAUACACCAAAAAUUGCAAAAAACAAACAUUUAGAGAUCAAGUAACGGGAGAAAACUUUUCGACGGUUAUCAAUGAAAAAUCAUGAUUUAACGGUUAUUUUAACUCUGAUUUUGAUAUUUUUUUACAGUUAGACUCCUUGUGUCACAUCCCAGCCCGGGUCCACCACAUCCCAGCCCGGGUCCACCACAUCCCAGGCCCUUUCCACUACCGUAGCACGAUAUUGUCCGCUUUGGGCUUACCAUUCCCUCACAGUUUUGUUUUUGGGAA
rnacentral:lncRNA from 1 species